rnacentral:rRNA from 1 species
CCCAGACUCAUCCGGGAGGCAGCACAGGGGAAUAUCCUCAAUGUGCGAUAACCUCCCGCAGCGACGCCUGCGUCGAGGGGAGGAUUGCCCUCGGGUUGUAAACCUUUUUUACCACCACCGCAAGUUCCACUUUCUUCUGGCGGGUUGACGGGAAGGUGCGGGAAUUAAGGACCCGGACAAAUAACUUACCCAGCAGCUCUUGUAAAUACGUAGGGGUCCCGAGCGGUGUCCGGAAAUUAUUGGGCCUAAAGAGCUCGUAGGCGGCGUGUCGCGUCUGCUGUGAAAGACCGGGGCUUAACUCCGGUUCUGCAGUGGAUACGGGCCUGCUAGAGGUAGCUAGGGGAGACUGGCUUCCUGGUGUAGCGGUGAAAUGCGCAGAAUCAGGAGGAACUCCGGUGGCGAAGGCGGUCUCUGGGCCUUACCUGACGCUGAGGAGCAAAGCAUGGGGAGCGAACACGAUUAUAUACCUGGUAGUCCAUGCCGUAAACGCUUGGUCGCUAUGGUGUGGCGACA